GCGGUUUCUCACUCAAGAUGUCAGUAAUGAAUUGAUUUAUGACAUUUAGGAAACAAGAGGAGCACUGUGUAUGAGCUAAUAAUUCAUUUUCAAACAGUCAAAAAUAUCCAUGCAAGUACCACGGUAUUUAUAUCAAUGGAUAUUACGUUACAUCGUGUUGGUGGCUCUGGCCUGUCAUUAAACAGGCAAAAAGAAAGUAGAAGGGAAGGAAAUUACAGGGCGGAGAAUAGAAUAAGAUCCAAGAUGGAGAUCGAACUCAGGUGGCUGGAGGCGCACUUCUUGUACUAUCAGCUCCUGUGGCUUUUGGCUCCAGGUUGUCAAUUCAGCAGAAAAGUUUGCCAUUCUCCCUGUUUACAGACAGGAGGUGAGCGCACAUGAACGCCGAUGACGUAUGGUGUUUGCGUGGACUAGCUGCGCGGUGGCCGGUGGGCAUUCAAAUUACGCUUAUGGAAGAGGGACAAAAAAUGCAACGUCCGUUUGGACCGAGAUCUUUUAUUGGUUGACAUAAAUUUCUACAAAUAAAUUUAAACAACUUAACAUAGUGAUUGCUAUCAGGAUGUGAGGAGACUUUUAACCAGCAUAACUAAAAAUGUUUCAGGAUCAAAUCUGUUAGCCUACCUUUAACUAACUUUUGCAUUUAAAAACCCACAGACCUGAUGAUAUUUGAUGUGAUUUCGUUUAAGUGAAAAGUCCUUUUCAUUAAAAAACAUGCAUGUUAUGUUACUGGUUGCUCAUGCUCAAGCUUCAGGCUAAAUAACACAAAAAACAUGAAUGGAAUAUGAAAC